GCGGUUCCUUCUCUAGCGAAGCCACGCGCGGCAAGAAACCGAGGCGUGGGGCAGAGGAGCAACGCAGAGGCACGCGUGCUGUGGGCAGCGUUUCUUCGCUGCCUUGUGCCCUCGCGCCGAUUCCCCCGGAAGAAAUCCCCGAUUCGCCCUCGAGAAGUGUCGUGGCGGAGAAGACCAGGAAGAAGAGAAGGCUGGAGAAGCGGAAGCCGCACAAGAAAUUGAAGUCAUCACAGAUCGAAUUCAACAAUUAUCACAGAUCGGAUUCAACAAGAUGAAAAAGAAAAAGAAGAAAAAUCAUCACAGAUAAAAAAAAAUCAUCCCGCUCCCUGCCAUGGCCGCCGUCGUGGCGCUCUGCGCCGCCUCCUACCUCCUCGGCCGCGCCCUCCCGACCGCCGCCGGCUCCUCCAUGGCUUGCUUUUGCUCCUCCUCCUCCUUCCCUGCAGCAAAGAGGAAUCAAAUCACACAAAAACAGCUCCUUUCUUCCUCUAGGCUUUGAUUUCUCCUUACCUCCGUGAGCUUCUUGAGGGGGUGAGGCUCUCGAUUGGGGAAACAAGAACCACACCAAAAGCAAAACAAACAGAGAGAAAGCAAGAACCACACCAAAACAGGCUGUCCACUCCCGCCGCCCCCGCCGCUCCCGAGUCCACGCACCCGCCUAUUGUCCAUCUCCAUGGCGGGUGGCGGCGAGGCCGGUGGUGGUGGCCGAAUCAAGGGGUCCGCGCCGCCGCACGAGACGCGAGGCGAGUGGAGGCGCGGCGAGGCGAGGAGAAGCGGUGCGGCGCAGCGAGGAGUGGAGCCGACGCCGGACGAGGAGGAGGAGCGGAGCCGGCGCCGCCGGACGGGGAGGAGGCAACGGGAAUGGCGACCGGGAGGAGGAGAAAGCGAUGGAGGGGAGAGUGAGGAGAAGACGAGUCGAGGGUAGGUGGGGAAAUUAUUUCCCCCACUACCCGUAUCCGCGAGCCCGAGAUCACGCCCACUGUGAUGUCGGUUACCUCCUAUACUAUAUUCAUCCAAUUAAACCACACAACUAAAGGUGCUUAUUAUGUGAGAUGGGUGUUUUUGAGAUAACUUUUGAGGCUAG
rnacentral:lncRNA from 1 species